rnacentral:rRNA from 1 species
UACAGAGGGUGCAAGCGUUGUUCGGAAUUAUUGGGCGUAAAGCGCGUGUAGGCGGCUUUGCAAGUCGGGUGUGAGAGCCCUCGGCUCAACCGAGGAAGUGCGCCCGAAACUGCAGAGCUUGAGUACCGGAGAGGAUGGCGGAAUUCCCCAAGUAGAGGUGAAAUUCGUAGAUAUGGGGAGGAACACCGGUGGCGAAGGCGGCCAUCUGGACGGAUACUGACGCUGAGACGCGAAAGCGUGGGUAGCAAACAGG